CUUGCCUUGGCUCGGKGCAUUUUCUAGUUGACGGGCCAGCAUCAGUUUUGACCGUCGGAAAAAGGUCCUCGGAAUGUGGCACCUUCGGGUGUGUUAUAGCCUUGGGUCGUAUACGACGGUUGGGACUGAGGACCGCAGCACGCCUUUAUGGCCGGGGUUCGCCCACGUACGUGCUUAGGAUGCUGGCGUAAUGGCUUUAAACGACCCGUCUUGAAACACGGACCAAG
rnacentral:rRNA from 1 species